rnacentral:rRNA from 1 species
UACGAAGGGGGCUAGCGUUGCCCGGAAUCACUGGGCGUAAAGCGCACGUAGGCGGCUUUCUAAGUCAGAGGUGAAAGCCCGGAGCUCAACUCCGGAACUGCCUUUGAUACUGGAAAGCUUGAGUCCGGGAGAGGUGAGUGGAACUGCGAGUGUAGAGGUGAAAUUCGUAGAUAUUCGCAAGAACACCAGUGGCGAAGGCGGCUCACUGGCCCGGUACUGACGCUGAGGUGCGAAAGCGUGGGGAGCAAACAGG